AAAGAACGCUGGCGGCAUGCUAACACACUGCAGUCUGAACGAGAUCUUCGGAUCUAGUGGCGCACGGGUGAGUAACGCGUGGGAACUACCUUUUAGUACGGGACAACGUUUGGAAACGAACGCUAAUACCGUAUACGCCCUCCGGGGGAAAGGUCAGCCGCUAAAAGAGGGGCCCGCGUCUGAUUAGCUUGUUGGUAACGUGUAAUGGCUUACCACAGGCGACGAUCAGUAGCUGGUCUGAGAGGAUGAUCAGCCACACUGGGACUGAGACACGGCCCAGACUCCUACGUGGAGGCAGCAGCUGGGGAAUAUUGGACAACUGGAGGCAACUCUGAUCCAGCAAUGCCGACGCUGUUGUGAUGAAGGCCCUAAGGUUGUAAAAGGCACUUUCAACCGGGUGAAGAUCGAUCGACAGGUAAGCCGGU
rnacentral:rRNA from 1 species